rnacentral:tRNA from 9 species
GGAGGGAUGGCUGAGUGGACGAAAGCGACGGUCUUGAAAACCGUUAUGGGGGCAACCUCAUCGUGGGUUCGAAUCCCACUCCCUCCGCCA